rnacentral:snRNA from 1 species
AUCUUUGUGCUUGGGACAAUACGAUAGUGUGUGAAGCUUAGCUGAUACAUCGUGAUUGCUAAUUGAAAACUUAUCCAAUCACCGUGCCCUGGUCAAUUUCUGUCUUACCCCUUUUAGGGG